GGCUCAGAUUGAACGCUGGCGGCAGGCCUAACACAUGCAAGUCGAGCGGUACGAGAGAAGCUUGCUUCUCUUGAGAGCGGCGGACGGGUGAGUAAUGCCUAGGAAUCUGCCUGGUAGUGGGGGAUAACGCUCGGAAACGGACGCUAAUACCGCAUACGUCCUACGGGAGAAAGCAGGGGACCUUCGGGCCUUGCGCUAUCAGAUGAGCCUAGGUCGGAUUAGCUAGUUGGUGAGGUAAUGGCUCACCAAGGCGACGAUCCGUAACUGGUCUGAGAGGAUGAUCAGUCACACUGGAACUGAGACACGGUCCAGACUCCUACGGGAGGCAGCAGUGGGGAAUAUUGGGACAAUGGGCGAAAGCCUGAUCCAGCCAUGCCGCGUGUGUGAAGAAGGUCUUCGGAUUGUAAAGCACUUUAAGUUGGGAGGAAGGGCAUUAACCUAAUACGUUGGUGUCUUGACGUUACCGACAGAAUAAGCACCGGCUAACUCUGUGCCAGCAGCCGCGGUAAUACAGAGGGUGCAAGCGUUAAUCGGAAUUACUGGGCGUAAAGCGCGCGUAGGUGGUUCGUUAAGUUGGAUGUGAAAUCCCCGGGCUCAACCUGGGAACUGCAUUCAAAACUGACGAGCUAGAGUAUGGUAGAGGGUGGUGGAAUUUCCUGUGUAGCGGUGAAAUGCGUAGAUAUAGGAAGGAACACCAGUGGGCGAAGGCGACCACCUGGACUGAUACUGACACUGAGGUGCGAAAGCGUGGGGAGCAAACAGGAUUAGAUACCCUGGGUAGUCCCACGCCGUAAACGAUGUCAACUAGCCGUUGGGAGCCUUGAGCUCUUAGUGGCGCAGCUAACGCAUUAAGUUGUCCGCCUGGGGAGUCAGCCGCAAGGUUAAAAUCUCAAAUGAAU
rnacentral:rRNA from 1 species